UACGUAGGUGGCAAGCGUGUCCGGAUUUGAUUGGGUUAAAGGGUGCGUAGGCGGUUUUUAAGUCAGUGCUGAAAUACUCCCAGCUUAACUGGAGGGGUGGCAUUGAUACUGGAAGACUUGAGUACAGAUGAGGUAGGCGGAAUUGACGGUGUAGCGGUGAAAUGCAUAGAUAUCGUCAAGAACACCGAUAGCGAAGGCAGCUUACUGGGCUGAUAACUGACGCUGAUGCACGAAAGUGUGGGGAGUCAAACAGG
rnacentral:rRNA from 1 species